AGUAACACAGUCAGAUCCUUGGCCAAACAACGCGGAUUGCAGUUCAUUUCAAAGAUGUCCUUGGCGUGUACACCCUGUGGAAUCUGGUUCAUCUUCAAUCUGUCAGAAGGCAUCAGAGGUGGUUUUGACUCCUUAUGUCUUGGACCUGUGCACAAAAAGUGUAAAAUGGAUGGAACAUCAGACAGCUCAUUAUAGAGACAAGUAAGCUCCAGUUCCAAAGUUGGUUGACAGAACAAGUCAUGACCUUGUGUGGAGGAAAAUGAGAUCCCGAGUGAAGUCUACAAUGUCAUUGACUCUGAAGAAGGACUCAGAGACCCAUUGGUGUUUAAUGACCCUUACUGGCCUAUGCAAUGGAAACUGAUCUUGAGUGUGCCUUAAAAUUCCAUUUCAUGGAGAACUGUGCGUGGUUGAAUUUUGAUUGAUUACUCAAUUAACUGAUGUAUUGGUAGAGUGAUUAAGAAAGAAGACUUUGGGAUCAGACCAACCUGGUUUUGAAUUCAAGCUCAGCAACUUACUAGGUAAGGAGGAGAAAAGAAAGAAGGAAAAAUUGGAAAGAUAAAUGGGGUCUUUCCAGUGAAGGCCUUUGGACUUGGACUGGAACUAAACCAUCAGCUCUUCUUGUUCUACCACUUGCAGACUGUAUGUCUUGGGACAUGUCAGCCUCUGUAAUCACCUGCAGUUAUGGCAUUAACCACCCAGUUGUUACCUACUUCUAGAUGAAAGAACUUGGCAAAUGUAUUUGAUGUACUACUUGAUUUAACAUCUAUGCUUCCAAAUGUUUAUUAUAAAGAAAUUACCAAGGCUCAAUUUUCCUACAUAAUUAAGAGUUUGGAAUUCGGGCAAUAUCAAGAACCACAUCUGUCCUGAAAUCAAUUAUCUCUGUUUGAAACACAAGAAAUAAGAAGACCAUUUUGAGAAGAACAGAGAGUAGCCUUAAGAAAAUCCCUGUCGCAAGCACUCUGGGAUUUGGACUCAAAUGCUAAUUAUACAGAACCACUUGGGUGCCCAGCUGCUGUCCAUUCUCUACACUUAUCCCACCUGAUGGAAGGCUGUUAAGAAAAACAUCACUGCAAUGCCUAAUAAACAGACAUGGGUCCCAGACCCAAUAAGAGUGAAACCAUCCCCCUAUUUAAAUGAAAUUAUGGCUGAUGAGAAAGACAAAUUAAUUUCUCUGUCCCUAGUAUUACACAAAACUUUGGAUGCUGCCAUUGUUACAAUUUUAUUUUCCCCAGGAGCUCAGAGUCCCACCUUCAUUCUUUUUGUUUAAUGCUUAAGCUUGCCUGUCCACCUAUGGAAGACUAGAAUGAGCAAAGACCAUGUAUUCAAUGAUCUGUAAAUCUAACAGGAAACAAUAUAAUAAAUAUAUUGUGUUUGCUAACCAAA
ensembl:lncRNA novel transcript